GUGCCAGCCGCCGCGGUAAUACGUAGGGUGCAAGCGUUGUUCGGAAUCAUUGGGCGUAAAGCGCGUGUAGGCGGUUAGGUAAGUCGGGUGUGAAAUCCCUGGGCUCAACCGAGGAAGUGCAUCCGAAACUGCCUAGCUAGAGGACGGUAGAGGAAGGUGGAAUUCCUAGUGUAGAGGUGAAAUUCGUAGAUAUUAGGAGGAAUACCGGUGGCGAAGGCGGCCUUCUGGGCCGGUCCUAACGCUGAGACGCGAAAGCGUGGGGAGCAAACAGGAUUAGAUACCCUUGUAGUCC
rnacentral:rRNA from 1 species